rnacentral:rRNA from 1 species
AGCAAAAGAAACCAACAGGGAUUGCCCUAGUAACGGCGAGUGAAGCGGCAACAGCUCAAAUUUGAAAUCUGGCCCUAGCGGUCCGAGUUGUAAUUUGUAGAGGAUGCUUUUGGUGAGGCGCCUUCCGAGUUCCCUGGAACGGGACGCCGGAGAGGGUGAGAGCCCCGUACGGUUGGACGCCAAACCUCUGUAUAGCUCCUUCGACGAGUCGAGUAGUUUGGGAAUGCUGCUCUAAAUGGGAGGUAAAUUUCUUCUAAAGCUAAAUACCGGCCAGAGACCGAUAGCGCACAAGUAGAGUGAUCGAAAGAUGAAAAGCACUUUGAAAAGAGGGUUAAAUAGCACGUGAAAUUGUUGAAAGGGAAGCGUUUGCGACCAGACUUUUUCCAGGCGGAUCAUCCGGCGUUCUCGCCGGUGCACUCCGCCUGGUUGAGGCCAGCAUCGGUUUCCUUAGGGGGAUAAAGGCCUGGGGAACGUAGCUCCUUCGGGAGUGUUAUAGCCCCUGGCGUAAUACCCCUCGGGGGACCGAGGAACGCGCUCUGCAAGGAUGCUGGCGUAAUGGUCGUCAACGAC